UACAGAGGUCUCAAGCGUUGUUCGGAUUCAUUGGGCGUAAAGGGCGCGUAGGCGGUGUGUCGCGUCGGCCGUGAAAACCUGCAGCUUAACUGUGGGCGUGCGGUCGAUACGGGCAUCACUGGAGUUCGGCAGGGGAGACUGGAAUUCCUGGUGUAGCGGUGAAAUGCGCAGAUAUCAGGAGGAACACCGGUGGCGAAGGCGGGUCUCUGGGCCGAUACUGACGCUGAGGAGCGAAAGCGUGGGGAGCGAACAGG
rnacentral:rRNA from 1 species